CUCAGAUGAUUGUACUGGUUACUGAAUGGGUUGACCUCUCUCUAGUAGAUAGACGUGCAAUGGACACAUAGAGAACCAGCAGAAAUCCACCAAUGUAGUCUAUCAGGCCCACCAUGUGAGCAGGAAUAAGAGAGGGCAAGUGGUUGGAACAAGGGGUGGGUUCCGAGGAUGUACCGUGUGGCUAACAGGUCUCUCUGGUGCUGGAAAAACAACGAUAAGUUUUGCCCUGGAGGAGUACCUUGUCUCCCAUGCCAUCCCUUGUUACUCCCUGGAUGGGGACAAUGUCCGUCAUGGCCUUAACAGAAAUCUCGGAUUCUCUCCUGGGGACAGAGAGGAAAAUAUCCGCCGGAUUGCUGAGGUGGCUAAGCUGUUUGCUGAUGCUGGUCUGGUCUGCAUUACCAGCUUUAUUUCUCCAUUCGCAAAG
rnacentral:lncRNA from 1 species